rnacentral:pre_miRNA from 1 species
UUUCUACUCCCUCCGUCCAAAAAUACUUGUCAUCAAAAUGGAUAAAAAUAGAUGUAUCUAAAACUAAAAUACGUCUAGAUACAUUUCCUUUUAUUCAUUUUGAUGACAAGUAUUUCCAGACGGAGGGAGUAUUUG